GCGGCGGCGAGAGGAGGGGGCUUCCCCGGAGGGUGCCCGGCGGCAGCGCCCGGCUCCUAGGCGUGAGCUGAGCCGGACCGGGAGCCGGCGGCGUGUCGCCAUGCCGGCGUGACGGGCGCCCCCGGCUGCCCGCGCGGGCCCCCGCGCUGCCCCACGCCGCGCCGCGCCGGCGCCGGGCGGCAGGAUGGGCUGUAUCCAAAGCAUCACCUGCAAGGCGCGGAUCCGGCGCGAGAACAUCGUGGUGUACGAUGUGUGCGCCACCAUCGACCAGUGCCCCACGCGCAUCGAGGAGACCUCGCCCAUCGUCCUGCGCUACAAGACCCCCUACUUCAAAGCCUCGGCCCGCGUGGUCAUGCCCCCCAUCCCCCGCCACGAGACCUGGGUGGUGGGCUGGAUCCAGGCGUGCAACCAGAUGGAGUUCUUCAACACCUACAGCGACCUGGGCAUGUCAAGCUGGGAGCUGCCUGACUUGAGGGAAGGGAGAGUAAAAGCCAUCAGUGACUCAGAUGGGGUGAGCUACCCUUGGUAUGGGAACACCACAGAGACUGUGACCCUGGUUGGCCCCACCAACAAGAUCUCCAGGUUCUCCGUCAGCAUGAAUGACAACUUCUACCCAAGUGUGACGUGGGCAGUGCCAGUGAGUGACAGCAAUGUGCCAUUGCUCACAAGGAUCAAGAGGGACCAAAGUUUCACUACCUGGCUGGUGGCCAUGAACACCACCACGAAAGAGAAGAUCAUUCUGCAGACCAUCAAGUGGAGGAUGAGGGUGGACAUUGAGGUAGACCCUCUUCAGCUCUUGGGGCAACGGGCCCGGCUGGUGGGCAGGACUCAGCAGGAGCAGCCCCGGAUCCUGAGCCGGAUGGAACCCAUCCCCCCCAAUGCACUAGUGAAACCCAAUGCCAAUGAUGCCCAGGUCCUCAUGUGGAGGCCCAAGCGGGGGCCACCUCUGGUUGUUAUUCCUCCUAAGUAGAAACAGACUGGCCUAACUGUGUGUGGCACACAUACCAGUGAGACACUUAGUGAGGUUGCCAGGGGUGGCAGGAGCCAAACUGAGUUUCUGAGCCAAAGCAGACCUCUUGGUUUGCCAGCCUAUGCAGCCACUUGUGAAGAGUAGGCCUGCUCCUUGGGCGGUAGAACCAUAUCCUUAGGAAAAGUUCUUCCUUUUAGGAAUAAAGAAAUCACUGAUUUGACAGACUUGCUGUGAUUACCAUGCAAGUAGCCAUAUUUUGGAGCUGACCAGGAUGAUUCUUUUAUCUGAACUAUUGACCAUUUCUUUCCUGUGAGAUGCAGGGGAUGGAAACGAUGUUAAACAGUGCCUGUGGCAAAUGCUGCUUCCCAACCAAUUAGAAGUGGGAGUGAAAACAUCCACACCAGGUGUCAUCUAGUAGGACAAGGCACGCCCAGCAAGCAGAACCACAUGGCAGAGACUAAGAGGAGGAAAUGAGCAGUGGCUGUGGCUCCAGAAGCUGAAGCCCUGGACAGCUGAUUUCCCAUUAAAAUGAGUGCCAUCCUGCCUGUCUCCUCACCACCCUCCCAUCUCAUGACCCAUACCCCCUCCCAUCCCACCACGUGCCAUGCAGCACUCCCCAAGGGCUGGCUGGGCUGGCUGGUUGGCUCCUGAGGAGCUGUGUUGAAGUGGGAGUUGUGUCUGCUGUAUCUUUCUGUGUGAAAGAUUGGGUCCAUCCAGAUAUCAAGUUCAUCCCCAACCCUCUAACUGAAGCUGCCCAGGGAUGAAGAGCUGGUCAGCCUGGACUCCAGAUAUCUAAAAUGACCCGGCCUUGGUUCCCAAACCCUGCCUUCCCUCCCUACACUUUUGGUUGGGAAACAGAGGGAUUAUGUAUCUUUCCUCUUUCUCCCUUCUCCACAUGGGUGGCUGAUGUUAACACUCUCUUAAGAUUUCUCUGAUCCUUAGAGAGUCAGGACCAAAGCAAUCCUGUCUCCCCUACACGUCCAGGCUGGGUGACUUCAGGUAACCAAAGGCAAAGUGUAUGUCCCCAGGAUCAGUGGGGUGAGGGGAGAACCACCCUAAGGGGGCAAAAAUGGUGUGCAUUGGUUUAUUUAUUGGCUUAUUUAUUGGCUUGCUCACUGACUUAUUUAUUUAUGAAAUAUGUAUUUAUUAUAUAGCAGAAAAUCCACUCCCAUCGCUGAGGCAUCCAGCCCCGGAAUUUGUCUUCUUGGCCCCAUAGAGCACAGUGAGUUAUUCCUCUUUGAAGCCACAGAAAACAAGGGGGAAAAUUCUCUCCUUCCAGAUUUUCAAUCAGAUAUAGGGUUAGAAACCACCAGCAAGUGAUGCAGUAAAACCACCCAAGUCAGCAGAGGCUCGACAGUCCAGAUAAAAGCUCUCAGAAUCCUCUCUACACCCACCCCUGUAGAGCCAGUCCUCCCCUUCUCUUCUUUCAUGUCUGCAGGUGGGGAUCAGCCAGCCAGCUCUAGCCUGACCAUCUCGGAACUAGACUUCUCUUUCUGCUCUGGUGCCAUUUUCUUAACGCCACAUACACAUUAGAGACACCUGAGGAGCUUAAAAAAAUCCAUGCCUGGUCCCCUUCCCUACUCAUUACAGCAGAAUCUCUCGGAGUAGAGCCUGGGCACUGGUGUUUUUAAAAAGUUACCCAAAUGAUUCUGAUGUGAGACUAGGGUUGAGAACCACUUCUAGAGUCUUCUCGCCUUUGCCUCUUCCCACCACUCACAUCCUUCAUCUUUAUCUCCCCAGCUUUCUCCAGUGCAGAGAAUGGGAAAGGCCACUGAGCAUGACAGAGUUCUCUUCCCAUUCCUCCAGCCCCUCCCUGUCACUGAACCUCCCCCAUCAGGUCAACCAACCUGAGCAGAGCCCUGGAGAGUUGGCAGGUCCCACGUGUCUCACCCGGCUCCUCACCAUCCUCCCUGGUUGUACCCUGGUUAUACCCUGAGACUGGCUCCUGAACCUAGCGUGGGAGCUGCUCUCAAGUGACUUCUGGCUAUUCUAGGAGCAGAAACCUACACCUUGCCAGAUUCCCUCUCCAUCUGCACCUUCCCCAGGCUCCCCAAUUCCAAAAGUUUAAAGGGCACUUUUGUGACAUUCAUGUCUUCAAAUCCCAAUCCUGAUGGGAAGGCCCAUGCCCAAUCUUUAUAACCCAAGCCUUGGCCAUUUCUGCAGAGCCACCUGAAUUGAAUGAGGGUCAAGUUGAAUAACAGAGGAAGGAGUCACAUUGCCCCAAGCCAGUCCUUUCCCCAGCAGUCAGGCAGCAUCCAAUUCCCGAAUGGCUGAGAAGAGACAUCUCAUCCUUCAUACUUAUGAAAUUUCCACUGCUGAGUACGAGUGAAUGUGUGUAUGUGUGUACAUGUGUGUUUGCUAUACACAAACCAUCCACAUCCAUAGAGAUGUACGGUGUUCCUAAUGGGCCCAAGUGAACUCCAUAUUAGAUAUAUACACAGAAUGUUGUAAUAUAUACAAUCUGUUAGACACACUGCACACACUAGGGAAACCUAUGAUGUGUAUUUUUGAUAACUGAUUUCCCCCUUAGUAACCUCCUAGGGCAAGUACUAUUUCACACGUGCCCUCAGCUGCCCAGCCUGUCCCGCUCCUGCAUUCCAUACCACCAAGCCUUCUUUCCCCAUUAGCCAGAAUGUCCCUGCCCUAUGUCCCAUCUCUCAGGGUCCUACUCUCUGAUAGGUGACAGACAGUUCAGUCAGUGGGUGCUAAAGAGUUGAGUGUUACCCCUCCCAGGUGACAUUUCCGUUUUAAUAGGGGCUACAGAUAAUGCCUUAAUUCGAAGGAGUGGCUCUAAUGGUGGGAAUUUCAGGCACAGUUGUGGGCCAGUAAGGGAGAUUAUUUUUUAUCGGAGGGGCUUUGGAGAGCCCCCCAAAUCAUACCUAUCUCUAAGAUCAGCCCUUCCUAAGUGCAUGAAGCACAAGCAAGCACACUUACCUACAUACACUCUGCAUCAUUUUGAGAUACCUCCCCUAUAUUGGCCCUGUCUUUAAAAAGGGGGGGUGGAAAAAGGAACCAGCUAAAUUAAUUUAAAUCUCACUGGGAAAUGUAGCCUAUUUUUCACUGGCCACCAGCCAUCUGGCCCAUCCCACCCCGUUCCACUUCCCUUCUGCUCCUUCUCUUUUCUGCCACCACCCCAUCAGUUAAUUUACUUACAUGUGUCCUCUCUGCACUCUCCUUACCCCCCCGCCCCCCGCAAUGUAUUUCCUUCCUCCUUGGCCCUUCACAAAUGUAUUUCCUUCCUUUACUGUUUCCCAAUUGGAAUUGUGCUGUUUUUUGGUGUCGUCAGGACAAAGAGCAGAUUAAAAGCAUGAGCAUGUGUGUAUCACUUUGAAGAAAGAGAAACCAGGUAUUCUGCUCCAGUGUGGAGAAAAACCCAGUGAAGGAAGAGAAGAGAGCUGGCUCUGCAGAGUGCCUUAAAAAUGACUUUAAUAGGAAAUACUGAGUCGUCAGUCUUUGGAUGUUACAUAAACUCAAACAGAUGUUGCAUUUCACUUCUCUGGGAUUAAAAGAUGUUAA